GGCUUCAUAGCUCAGUUUGUAGAGCAUCGUACCGGCAUCGCGGAGGUCAUGAGUUCAAAUCCCGUUGAAGCCC
rnacentral:tRNA from 1 species